rnacentral:rRNA from 1 species
CGCCCUACGGGACGCAGCAGUGGGGAAUAUUGCACAAUGGGGGAAACCCUGAUGCAGCGACGCCGCGUGAGUGAAGAAGUAUUUCGGUAUGUAAAGCUCUAUCAGCAGGGAAGAAAAUGACGGUACCUGAGUAAGAAGCCCCGGCUAACUACGUGCCAGCAGCCGCGGUAAUACGUAGGGGGCAAGCGUUAUCCGGAUUUACUGGGUGUAAAGGGAGCGUAGACGGCCAGACAAGUCUGAAGUGAAAAUCCAGCGCU